AUCAUAUGCGAUGCAAAGGUGAGU
rnacentral:siRNA from 1 species